rnacentral:lncRNA from 1 species
AUCAAAUAACAAGUGCAUCAUUUACCAUAACGUAUGAUCCAAAAUCCAUAAAGUAUUACAAACUGAGUAGCAAAUAGCUAACUUUAUUCAAUAAUAACAGUGGAAAGGUGGCAUAAUAAACGAUGAGUCCAUCAACGCCCACUAGCGAAAAAUGUUGAGUGAAGACUCGCAACCCUACUGUAUCUCACUAAUCAUCUGAAUAUCCUGCAACAUGAUAAGUUGCAGCCACAAGGGUCAAUACAUUGAAUGUAUUGGCAAAUCACACAAUAUGAUAAAGCAAACCUACAUCCACAAGCAAAGUAUGACAAACAAAACACUCAAAUUUGGUUUCAUGUAAAACUACCUUCACCUACCUCCACGACAUAGACAAGGUGCAAACAACACAGAUGAUAAAGAUCUUCAAGAUGUCUCAAGUGCGCUCAGUCCUGGCGCAUUCUCUAGGGACAAUAGAGCGCUCAGCUAGUGAUGCAUUCACGUGAGAAAAAUCCCCGACAACUCAAGUGCGCUUAGCCAUGGCGCAUUCUCUAGGGACAAUAGAGCGCUCAGUCAUUGACGCAUUCACCUGAGAAAAAGUCCCGAGCCUACAGCUGUAAAGACUCACCACUUCCAUGCAUCACUCGACACAUGCCCACGUCUACCAUCGCAAGUUGAUCACAGCAUCACAUAACACAGCUAACGCCAAAACAUGACAACACGAGAUACACAUAUCAGGCCAAACAUAUUUCAUAGCAUCAAACCACACAUGCAUAGUAGAAUAUAGGAUGAGCAAAAUCAAAAGUGCAAACUUGCCUUGAGCGGUGUUGAAGUACUCUAACGCUUAAUUCGGAUCUGCUUCACUCUCCGGACAAUCUAUACGAGAACGAAGGCCCCGAUAAAUAAAUUGUACUCACAUAACACCACAAUAAAGUCGACAUCAAGGAAUUCAAAUAAAAAUUUAAUUAGCAGAACAUAUCAGUAGGUAUCUAUUAUCUACAUGCUAGUAGGAUCACAAUGCAAAAAGAAUCAACUAAUUUAGAUCAGCGGUUUGAAAGAUGUGGCCUCCGAAAGUUUGAAUUCAAAUUUAAUCAAUAUUCUCCUGGUCACUACGAGUACACAGGAAAAAGAAUCGAUGAAUUUGGAGUUAUGGAUCUCAAGAUAUACCUAAAUGAAAAUUUGAUAUGAAAUCUACCCAAAAAUAUUGUGUCAAAACUGUGUUCAUGGAAGAACUGCCGUGGCUGCUGCGGAUGUGCCACGUGGCAGGUUUCUACUGCCUCCGAAGUGUUCGCUGCGAGGUCUAAAGGGCGAACGGCCACUAAAUAGUGCAUACCUAUUCGAAGAAAAAAAAACAGGACAUGAUAUAAUCUGGACCGUCAAAGAGAGAUCGGGCGGUUGACAAUUGCUCAUCGGAGACAGGGGCUGGGUGGCCGCCGGAGUUGAACAAGACAGACGCGGGCGGCACGGGAUCGAUGUUGGGGUCGUCUCUGGUGAUCUCCUCAAGAUUACAAGGUCACAAGGAGAAGCUGCAGAGAUAGGCGGUCUCGAACAUGUCGUCCGGGUCUUCGGAAAGAUCUGCUAGCAACGGCACAGUCCAGGAAGAGUUCGCGGCGGCGAUGUGCUUCUGGUCAGGGUCGAUGCGGUCGCUAUACUGCUCCCCUGCGUGAAGUAGAAGAUGAGGGAAAAUCAGGAGAUCAAAGCGCGAAUAAGAGGACCAAAAGGAGAAGCAGGAAACCUCCAGUGGCAUCUGAAUCAACUAGCGAAGACCUCCUGUGACGGCGAAACUCUGGUGAGAUCGCGACGACGCCCUAGGGCAUGGGUGACAGCGAUUUUGCCAAAAAUCGGGCGAGAUGGAGGUGGAGAUCUCAUAUAGGGUGGAUCCCGUGUAUGGGGCUCAAGAAUCAAUCGAAUCCAUCGAUUUCAUCUCGGUGGGGUUCGGUGAGCUACAGGAGACCGUGACGAACACGUGCUGCGAGGAAGAUGACAUGCGGGACCCGAAGUCAGCGGGAGAGAGAAGAAAAAGGAAAAAAACGAAAGGCAGCGGGGUGGGCUAUGUCCUGCGGCGAAAUGGGUCGCCGGCCUACUAGCGGCUGCUGCUGCGCUGCUGUUCAGUGCGCGCGCGGGCGAGGGUUAUCUGGACCGCUGUGCAGCCCGGCUGCACACAGUGCGACUGGGGUUUUUUUUAGAAAAAACUUUGCUACAGAAAGUAAAUAAAUCUAAACCAAUAGGAAAUUAAAUCCUAGAAAAACACCAGAACACACAUUAAAUCAUUACUGCUACUAUAUAAAACAGUGAACAUUUUUAACAACACAAAUGCAUUUUUGGAAAAUAAUUUUAUGCAAUACAAGCACAUAAAGAGCAUUAUAAUAACAACUAUAAAAUAAUUUUGAGUUUCUAAAAUUCCCAAAAUAGUUUCUGUAAACUCCAUAUAAUAUCAUUAACCUUUUCUAAAUAUAAUUUAUAGGGGAUAAGUCAUAUUAUCUCCACUCAAAAUAUUUGCCUUAAGUUGCAAUAACAAUUUGAACAAUCAGAAAAUUUCAAAUAUGCAUAGAAAAAUCAUGAUGAAAAAGAAUGAUCCUAUUAACAUACCAAAUUGGAAAAUUUGGGAUGUUACAAAUCUACCAUCCUUAAAAUGAAUCUCGUCCUCGAGAUUCGAAGAGGCUAGAAAGAAAAAACUAGGGUUGGUUUCUCCUUGAAUAUCCAUUGUUCGUCCGAGAGGGUGGAGUACUACCACCCUUAGAAUAAGAGUCAUUGGUUUUCAAAAAUCUUACUCCUUCGAGGAAAUCCUUCAAAUAUAAGGCCUACACCCAAUUGGGAUCUUGAAUCCUACAUCCAAAGGAGUGGUCUUACAGAUACUGAAUCUCCAUGGUUGAUAUAUCUUGUGCCAUUGCUAAACAUCUAUCGUGGCUCUCAUGGUCGUCAUCAAGCACAAUCCUCCAGGUUUCCUGCAGAAAUGGGUUUUGGUUCAUUCUCACCGUAAAUCCUACUGUUGGCAAUGGUUGCCUGUUACAAAGGUCAAAUGACAUACCAUUCUAAGGUUCUGGCUUAACAACGUCAUCUCUCUAGUAUAGGUAAGUCACUCCAGAUUUACCAUCCCACAUAGCAAAAGCGAAUAAUAAGAGUAAGUCGGCAUGGCGAUCAAUCCAUUCCGCACCCAAAUCAUUACCUUGUACUAUAUGGUUUAGUGAAUCUCGCGGUCUAACACUCUGGCAUCCUCACAAGCAUUGCAGAAUAUUUCUCUUGUUCGCGAACUAGGUUUAGAUAAUUCCAUUGGUUCUGCAUGCCAAACAAAAUCAACUAUCGUUCCUCUCAACUAUUAGGUUUACGUCAACUACUAUAAAACAUCUACUAUUUAUAGCUUCCUCUAGGGUUCUUCCUUCAGCAAGAUUGUGCUUGCUUCUUGUCAGAUCUUGGUGCAUGUGGUAAAACUUGAACUCAUCACUGGAUUGCAGCAUGUAUUAGGAUAUAGAAAGAAUAAAGACCUAAGGGGAAAACACUACCCAUAUGCUCAUGCUAGCAACAAAAACCAAACACAAAAUUCACACAAGUCACACCACGCAAGCAAGACCUAUAGGUAAGGUCAUAUCCACAAGAGAUAUGAUCUCGUCAUACUACCACAAAUCAUUUAUCGAACACAACUUAGUAAUGGUGGUCUGCCAACUAAAACUCUUCAAAAGACACUACUAUAAAUGCUGGGGUCAUCUACAUUGAAAAGAAAAGAUAAGAGUACAGGAGUGUGAAAUAUUGAUACGUCUCCAACGUAUCUAUAAUUUUUGAUUUUUCCAUGCUAUUAUAUUACCCCUUUUGGAUGUUUAUGGGCUUUAUUUUACACAUUUAUAUCAUUUUUGGGGCUAACCUACUAACCAGAGGCCCAGCCCGUAUUGUUGUUUUUUGCCUAUUUCAGUAUUUCAAAGAAAAGGAAUAUCAAACGGAGUCCAAACGGAAUGAAACCUUCGGGAGCGUGAUUUUUGGAACGAACAUGAUCCAUAGGACUUGGAGUGCAAGUCAAGAAGCAGUCGAGGCGGCCACGAGGGUGGAGGGUGCGCCCACCCCUACAGGGCGCGGCCCCCUAUCUCGUGGGCCCUCGGGAGGCCACCGACCUACUUCUUCCUCCUAUAUAUACCCACGUACCCCGAAAACAUCCGGGGAGCCAACGAAAAACAAUUUCCACCGUCGUAACCUUCUCUAUCCGCGAGAUCCCAUCUUGGAGCCUUCGUCGAUGCUCCGCCGGAGGGGGAAUCGACCACGGAGGGCUCCUACAUCAACACCAUAGCCCCUCUGAUGAGUUGUGAGUAGUUUACCACAGACCUUCGGGUCCAUAGUUAUUAGUUAGAUGGCUUCUUCUCUCUUUUUGGAUCUCAAUACCAUGUUCUCCCCCUCUCUUGUGGAGACCUGUUUGAUGUAACUCUUUUUGUGAUGUGUUUGUCGAGAUCCGAUGAAUUGUGGGUUUAUGAUCAAGUUUAUCUAUGAGAAAUAUUUGAAUCUCCUCUGAAUUCUUUUAUGUAUGAUUGAGUUAUCUUUGCAAGUCUCUUCGAAUUAUCAGUUUGGUUUGGCCUACUAGAUUGAUCUUUCUUGCAAUGGGAUAAGUGCUUAGCUUUGGCUUCAAUCUUGCGGUGUCCUUUCCCAGUGACAGUAGGGGCAGCAAGGCACGUAUUGUAUUGUUGCCAUCGAGGAUAAAAAGAUGGGGUUUAUAUCAUAUUGCAUGAGUUUAUCCCUCUAUAUCAUGGCAUCUUUCUUAAUGCGUUACUCUGUUCUUAUGAACUUAAUACUCUAGAUGCAUGCUGGAUAGCGGUCGAUGUGUGGAGUAAUAGUAGUAAAUGCAGGCAGGAGUCGGUCUACUUAUCGCGGACGUGAUGCCUAUAUACAUGAUCAUGCCUAGAUAAUCUCAUAAUUAUUCUCUUUUCUAUCAAUUACUCGACAGUAAUUUGUUCACCCACUGUAAUACUUAUGCUAUCUUGAGAGAAGCCACUAGUGAAACCUAUGGCCCCCAGGUCUAUCUUUUAUCAUAUAAGCUUGCAAUCUACUUUUAUUUGCAUCUUUACUUUUCGCAUCUAUAGUAUAAAAUACCAAAAAUAUAUUUAUCUUAUCAUACUAUCUCUAUCAGAUCUCACUUUUGCAAGUGGCCGUCAAGGGAUUGACAACCCCUUUAUUGAGUUGGUUGCGAGUUCUUUGUUUGUUUGUGUAGGUGCGUGGGACUUUUGAGGAGCCUCCUACUGGAUUGAUACCUUGGCUCUCAAAACCUGAGGGAAAUACUUACGCUACUAUUGUUGCAUCACCCUUUCCUCUUCAAGGAAAACCAACGCAAGCUCAAGACAUAGCAAGAAGGAUUUUUGGUGUCGUUGCCAGGGAGGUCUUUGCUCAAGUCAAGACAUACCAAGUACCCAUCACAAACUCAUCUCCCUCGCAUUUACUUUAUUUGCCAUUUGCCUCUCGUUUUCCUCUCCCCCACUUCACCCUUGCCAUUUUAUUCGCCCUCUCUUUCCCAAUCUUCUCCUCUCUCUCUCUCGCUUGUCUUUUUUUGUGCCUGUUUAUCCUUAUGGCUUUGCCUAAGAGUACCGACCUCCUUCUUAGAAGGUUGGAAGAGAUUGAAUCAAACAUUAGAAGUUUUAUGACUUUACAAUUUGAGCACAAUAAUUUCUUCAGAAAAGAGCUUAAAUAACAAAAAGGUUUUUUGGGGUUUAUGAACAAGGAGAUUGAUGAUAUGUCUAAAGAAUUUUAUGAUUUGAACUCUCAAAUUACCCGGCUUUAAAAUUCUAUAGCCCAAAUUUCUGAUAAGCAAGCUACCUUAGUCAAUAAGAUGGCUGCCAAACCAGAAAAAUUAGGUGAAAAUAAUGAUGAAGAUCUUAAAGUUAUUGAUGUGUCCCCUAUUAGAUCUUUGUUUUGCAAUAUGAAUCUUAAUAAUAAUGGGACUGGAGAUUAGUCAACUUUAGUUAGAAGGUGUCCCAAUAAUUUGGAGUUUUUAGAUCUUGAUGCUAAAUUUGGUAAAUGUGGGAUUGGAGAGGUCAUGACUUUAAAUAGUAUUGAACCCACUAUCUCGGAUUUCAAGGAAUUUGAUUAUGAUAAUUGUUCUUUAGAAGGUUGUAUUUCCUUGUUGCAAUCUGUUGUUAAUUCCCCUCAUGCUUAUAGUCAAAAUAAAGCUUUUACCAAACAUAUUGUUGAUGCCUUGAUGCAAUCUUAUGAUGAAAAACUUAAUUUGGAAGUUUCUAUACCUAGAAAACUUAAUGAUGAGUGGGAACCUACUAUAAAGAUUAAAAUUAAAGAUCAUGAGUGUUAUGCUUUGUGUGAUUUAGGUGCUAGUGUUUCCAUGAUUCCGAAAACUUUAUGUGAUAUUCUAGGUUUCCAUGAUCUUGAUGAUUGCUCUUUAAAUUUGCACCUUGCGGAUUCUACCAUUAAAAAGCUAAUGGGAAGGAUCAAUGAUAUUCUCAUUGUUGCAAAUAGAAAUUUGGUGCCCGUAGAUUCUAUCGUUCUUGAUAUAUAUUGCAAUCUUUCUUGCCAUAUUAUUCUUAGUAGACCUUUCCUUAGAACGAUUGGCGCGAUUAUUGAUAUGAAGGGAAUAUUAGAUUCCAAUUUCCAUUAAGGAAAGGCAUGGAGAAUUUUCCAAGAAAGAAAAUUAAAUUACCUUAUGAAUCUAUCAUGCGGGCUACUUAUGAAUUGAGUGCCAAAGAUGGCACUACUUAGAUCUAUCUUCGCUUUUAUGCCUAGCUAGGGGCGUUACACGAUAGCGCUAGUUGGGAGGCAACCCAAUUUUAUUUGUGUUUUUUGUUUUUGUUUAUGUUUAGUAAUAAGUUUUGCAUCUACCUUCUGUUUAGAUGUGUUUUUAUGUUUUAUUUAGUGUUUGUGCCAAGUAGAACCUAUAUGAUAACCUAUGAUGAUAGUUGAUUUGAUUCUGCUGAAAAACAAAAACUUUGCGCGCAUGAAAUUAGUUUUGUUAAAUCACAGAAAUGUGAUUUUGCAUUGAUUCUUUUUGAUGUAGAUCAAUAGACAAAUUUUCUAGGACUUCCUAUUUUGGUAGGAUUUUUAGAGUUCCAGAAGUUUGUGUUAGUUGCAGAUUUCUACAGACUGUUCUGUUUUUGACAGAUUCUGUUUUUCGUGUGUUGUUUGCUUAUUUUAAUGCAUCUAUGGAUAGUAUUAAGUGGUAUGAACCAUAGAGAACUUGAAAUGCAGUAGGUUUAACACCAAUAUAAAUAAAGGAUGAGUUCAUUACAGUACCUUAUGUGGUGGUUUUGUUUUCUUUCACUAACGGAGCUUAUGAGAUUUCCUGUUGAGUUUUGUGUUGUGAAGUUUUCAAGUUUUGGGUAAAGAUUUGAUGGACUAUGGAAUAAGGAGUGGCAAAAUCCUAAGCUUGGGGAUUCCCAUGGCACCCCAAGAUAUUCAAGAAUAGCCAAAAGCCUAAGCUUGGGGAUGCCCCCGGAAGGCAUCCCCUCUUUCAUCUUCGUUCAUCGGUAACUUUACUUGGAGCUAUAUUUUUAUUCGCCACAUGAUAUGUGUUUUGCUUGGAGCGUCGUGUAUGAUAUUAGUGUUUGCAUUUUAGUUUUCCACAAUCAUCCUUGCUGUACACACCUUUUGGGAGAAGCCCACUUGAUUGAAAUUUAUUAGAAUUCUCUAUGUGCUUCACUUAUAUCUUUUGAGCUAGAUAGUUUUUGCUCUAGUGCUUCACUUAUAUCUUUUAGAGCAUGGCGGUGGCUUGAUUUUGUAGAAAUUGUUAGGCUCUCAUGCUUCACUUAUAUUAUUUUGAGAGUCUCUUAGAACAGCAUGGUAUUUGCUAUGGUUAUAAAAUUGGUCCUAGAAUGGUAGGCAUCCAAGUUGGGUAUAAUAAAAACUAUCAUAGGAAGUGAAUUGGAUGCUAUGAUCAAUUUGAUACUUGCUAAUUGUUUUGAGAUAUGGAGGUAGUGAUAUUAAAGUCAUUCUAGUUGGGUGAUUAUGAAUUUAAAGAAUGCUUGUGUUGAAGUUAGCAAGUCCCGUAGCAUGCACGUAUGGUUAAAGUUGUGUAACAAAUUUGAAACAUGAAGUGUCCUUGGAUUGUGCAUCCUUAUGAGUGGCGGUCAGGGACGAGCGAUGGUCUUUUCCUACCAUUAUAUCCCUCUAGGAGCAUGCGCGUAGUGCUUGGUUUUUGAUGACUUCUAAAUUUUUGCAACAAGUAUAUGAGUUCUUUUGACUAAUGUUGAGUCCAUGGAUUAUACGCACUUUUACCUUUCCAUCAUUGCUAGCCUCUUCGGUACCGUGCAUUGCCCUUUCUCACCUUGAGAGUUGGUGCAAACUUCGCCGGUGCAUCCAAACCCCGUGAUAUGAUACGCUCUAUCACACAUAAACCUCCUUAUAUCUUCCUCAAAACAGCCACCAUACCUACCUAUUAUGGCAUUUCCAUAGCCAUUCCGAGAUAUAUUGCCAUGCAAUUUUCCGCCGUUCUGUUUAUCAUCAUGACACACAUUACUUUUGUCAUAUUCCCAUUGCAUGAUCAUGUAGUUAACAUCGUAUUUGUGGCAAAGCUACCAUGCAUAAUUUUUCAUACAUGUCACUCUUGAUUCAUUGGACCAUCCCGGUACACCGCCGGAGGCAUUCAUAUAGAGCCAUACCUUGUUCUAGUUUUGAGUUGUAAUUCAUAUGUUGUAAAUCAAUAAAAGUGUGAUGAUCAUCAUUAUUAGAGCAUUGUCCCCAAAAAUAAAAAAAAGGCCAAAAAAAAGAAAGGCCAAAGAAAAAAAGAAAAGAAAAAGAAAAUAAAAAAGGGGCAAUGUUACUAUCUCUUUUUCCACACUUGUGCUUCAAAGUAGCACCAUGUUCUUCAUAUAGCGAGUCUCAUAUAUUGUGCUUCAAAGUAGCACCAUGUUCUUCAUAUGGUGAGUCUCAUAUGUUGUCACUUUCAUAUACUAGUGGGAAUUUUUCAUUAUAGAACUUGGCUUGUAUAUUCCUACAAUGGGCUUCCUCAAAUGCCCUAGGUCUUCGUGAGAAAGCAAGUUGGAUGCACACCCACUAGCUUUCUUUUGUUGAGCUUUCAUUCAUUUAUAGCUCUAGUGCAUCCGUUGCAUGGCAAUCCCUACUCCUCAUGUUGACAUCAAUUGAUGGGCAUCUCCAUAUCCCGUUGAUUAUCCUCGUCAAUGUGAGACUUUCUCUUUUUUUUGUCUUCUCCACACAAUCCCCAUCAUCAUAUUCUAUUCCACCCAUAGUGCUAUAUCCAUGGCUCACUCUCAUGUAUUGCGUGAAAGUUGAAAAAGUUUGAGAUUAUUUAAGUACAAAACAAUUGCUUGGCUUGUCAUCGGGGGUGUAGAAUUUGGGAACAUUUUUGUGUGACAAAAAUGAAGCAUAGCCUAACUAUAUGAUUUUGUAGGGAUGAACUUUCUUUAGCCAUGUUAUUUUGAGAAGACAUGAUUGCUUUUAUUAGUAUGCUUGAAGUAUUACUAUUUCUUAUAUCAAUAUGAACUUUUGUUUUGAAUCAUUUUGAUCUGAACAUUCAUGCCACAAUAAAGAAAAUUACAUUGAGAAUUAUGCUAGGUAGCAUUCCAAAUCAAAAAUUAUGUUUUUAUCAUUUACCUACUCGAGGACGAGCAGGAAUUAAGCUUGGGGAUACUUGAUACGUCUCCAACGUAUCUAUAAUUUUUGAUUGUUCCAUGCUAUUAUAUUACCCCUUUUGGAUGUUUAUGGGCUUUAUUUACGCAUUUAUAUCAUUUUUGGGACUAACCUACUAACCGGAGGCCCAGCCUGUAUUGCUGUUUUUUUGCCUAUUUCAGUAUUUCGAAGAAAAGGAAUAUCAAACAGAGUCCAAACGGAAUGAAACCUUCGGGAGCGUGAUUUUUGGAACGAACGUGAUCCAGAGGACUUGGAGUGCAAGUCAAGAAGCAGCCGAGGCAGCCACGAGGGUGGAGGGCGCGCCCACCCCUACCGGGCGCGCCCCCUAUCUCGUGGGCCCUCGGGCGGCCACCGACCUACUUCUUCCUCCUAUAUAUACCCACGUACCCCGAAAACAUCCAGGGAGCCAACAAAAAACAAUUUCCACCAUCGUAACCUUCUGUAUCCGCGAGAUCCCAUCUUGGAGCCUUCGCCGGCGCUCCGCCGGAGGGGGAAUCGACCAUGGAGGGCUUCUACAUCAACACCAUAACUCCUCUGAUGAGUUGUGAGUAGUUUUCCACAGACCUUCGGGUCCAUAGUUAUUAGCUAGAUGGCUUCUUCUCUCUUUUUGGAUCUCAAUACCAUAUUCUCCCCCUCUCUUGUGGAGAUCUAUUUGAAGUAACUCUUUUUGCGGUGUGUUUGUCGAGAUCCGAUGAAUUGUGGGUUUAUGAUCAAGUUUAUCUAUGAGAAAUAUUUGAAUCUCCUCUGAAUUCUUUUAUGUAUGAUUGAGUUAUAUUUGCAAGUCUCUUCGAAUUAUCAGUUUGGUUUGGCCUACUAGAUUGAUCUUUCUUGUAAUGGGAGAAGUGCUUAGCUUUGGCUUCAAUCUUGCGGUGUCCUUUGCCAAUGACAGCAGGGGCAGCAAGGCACGUAUUGUAUUGUUGCCAUCGAGGAUAAAAAGAUGGGGUUUAUAUCAUAUUGCAUGAGUUUAUCCCUCUACAUCAUGUCAUCUUUCUUAAUGUGUUAUUCUGUUCUUAUGAACUUAAUACUCUAGAUGCAUGUUGGAUAGCGGUCGAUGUGUGGAGUAAUAGUAGUAGAUGCAGGCAGGAGUCGGUCCACUUGUCGCGGACGUGAUGCCUAUAUACAUGAUCAUGCCUAGAUAAUCUCAUAAUUAUUCUCUUUUCUAUCAAUUGCUCGACAGUAAUUUGUUCACCCACCAUAAUACUUAUGCUAUCUUGAGAGAAGCCACUAGUGAAACAUAUGGCCCCCGGGUCUAUCUUUUAUCAUAUAAGCUUUCAAUCUACUUUUAUUUGCAUCUUUACUUUUCGCAUCUAUAUUAUAAAAUACCAAAAAAAUAUUUAUCUUAUCAUACUAUCUCUAUCAGAUCUCACUUUCGCAAGUGGCCGUCAAGGGAUUGACAACCCCUUUAUUGCGUUGGUUGCAAGUUCUUUGUUUGUUUGUGUAGGUGCGUGGGACUUUUGAGGAGCCUCCUACUGGAUUGAUACCUUGGUUCUCAAAAACUGAGGGAAAUACUUACGCUACUAUUGCUGCAUCACCCUUUCCUCUUCAAGGAAAACACAGGCAAGCUCAAGACGUAGCAAAUAUCAAGUAUAGUAAGGUUGUGAAAUAAGUUUUUAGUCAUAUGGCUAGGGUCACGACCUACAGUCAACACACUACUCUGAUACCAUCUGUAACGACCUGCAUCUGAUAAGAUUCAAUGUCUCUGUGCUCACUAUGCUAGUCCCUAGAUCGACUCGCUAGCACACAUAGUACAUAUGAAUAUCAAAUAACCAGUGCAUCAUUUACCAUAACGUAUGAUCCAGAAAAAUGCUAACUUUAUUCAAUAAUAACAGCGGAAAGGUAGCAUAAUAAAUGAUGACUCUAUCAAUGCCCACUAGCGAAAAAUGUUGAGUGAAGACUCGCAACCCUACUGUAUCUCACUGAUCAUCUGAAUAUCCUACAACAUGAUAAGUUAAAGCCACAAGGGUCAAUACAUUGAAUGUAUUGGCAAAUCACACAAUAUGAUAAAGCAAACCUACAUCCACAAGAAAACUAUGACAAACAAAACAAUCAAGUUUGGUUUCACGUAAAACUACCUUCACCUACCUCCACGACAUAGGCAAGGUGCAAACAACACAGAUGAUAAAGAUCUUAAAGAUGUCUCAAGUGUGCUCAGUCCUGGCGCAUUCUCGAGGGACAAUGGAGCGCUCAGCCAGUGACGCAUUCAUGUGAGAAAAAGCCCCGACAACUCAAGUGCGCUCAGCCAUGGCGCAUUCUCUAGGGACAAUAGAGCGCUCAGCCAUUAACGCAUUCACCUGAGAAAAAGUCCCGAGCCUACAGCUAUAAAGACUCGCCACUUCCAUGCAUCACUCGAUACAUGCCCACGUCUACCAUCGCAAGUUGAUCACAGCAUCACAUAACACAGCUAACGCCAAAACACGACAACACGAGAUACACAUAUCAGAUGAAAGGAUCGAUAUGGUUGACUAGAAGGGGGGGUGAAUAGGCAACUAACAAUUUUUAAGCUUUUCUUUACCAAAUUAAACUUUGCAACAAAAUAGGUUGUCUAGAUGUGCAACUAGGUGAGCAACCUAUAUGAUGCAAUAACAACUAGCACACAAUUAAGCAAGGAUGUAACAACAAGUAGGCUUGCAAAAGUAAGGGCACGAAUUAACCAAGAGUGGAGCCGGUGGAGACGAGGAUGUGUUACCGGAGUUCCUUCCUUUUAAAGGGAAGUACGUCUCCGUGGGAGCGGUGUGGAGGCACAAUGCUCCCCAAGAAGCCACUAGGGCCACCGUAUUCUCCUCACGCCCUCACACAAUGCGAGAUGUCGUGAUUCCACUAUUGGUGCCCUUGAAGGCGGCGACCGAACCUUUACAAGCAAGGUUGGGGCAAACUCCACAACAACCGGAGGCUCCCAACAACAACAACAACAACAACAACACGAAGCUUCACCACAAUGGAGUAUGGCUUCGAGGUGACCUCAACCGUCUAGGGUGCUCAACACCCAAGAGUAACAAGAUCCGCAAGGGAUAAGUGGGGGGAAUCAAAUUUCUCUUGGUGGAAGUGUAGAUCUGAGCCUUCUCAACCAAUCCCGAGCAAAUCAACAAGUUUGAUUGGCUAGGGAGAGAGAUCGGGCGAAAAUGGAGCUUUGAGCAACAAUGGAGCUUUGGGGGAAAGAGGUAGGUCAACUAGGAGGAAGAAGACCCCUUUAUAUAGUGGGGGGACACAUCCAACCGUUACCCCACUGAGCAGCCCCGCACAGAGCGGUACUACCGCUAGGGAAGGGCGGUACUACCGCUCCCUAUCCAGCGGUACUACCGCGCUGAAGAGAAAGUCAGGCCACUGGCCCCAGAGCGGUACUACCGCGGGAGUAGAGUGGUACUACCGCUCAGAGCGGUACUACCGCUUCUACUGCCGCUACUAAUGCCGCAAAACCCGACACGAGAAAACACUGUCUCGAAUCGAGGCGGCAGUAGGCGCGGUACUACGGCCGAAGCCCGCGAGCGGUACUACCGCUCUAUGGAGCGGUACUACUGCUUAGAGAGGUACUACCGCUUCGUGGAGCGGUACUACCGCUGGGGGGCUUCGGCGGUACUACCGCUGUAGACCGCGGUACUACCGCUGGCACAGGGCGAAGCAGGUACAGAAGAGAGGUGUAGCUCCAAAGAUGCGAAAGGAAGACGACGGGUGUGAUAAGGAUGUGUACGUGUUGAUUCCACCCUAGUCUUACCAAAGCGGAUCCCCUCUUAAUAGUACGGUGACUCCUACAAAACUAGUCCACCAACAACGAAAUGCAGGAGCUACACCGUCUUGAAUAAAAACACCAAGGGGAGGAAAUCGUCUCGUGCCAAUGGAUGAUUCUCUGAAAGAACUUAACGCACACGAUUAGUCCGCAAAAGCAUUGUCAUCAAUCACCAAAACCACUAUGGGAUAAAUAAGCCCUUACAAUCUCCCCCUUUUUGGUGGAUUGAUGACAAUACGGGAUUUGCAUAAACAAGAUAUAGAGUACGCAUACAAACCCCACGAUCCUAACAUGUAGAUGGGCUCCCCCUAGAUGUGUGCUAUUUCGAUAAGUGCUUUGGACUGCACAGCACACAUAAUAGGAUCAGAGCUCCCCCUACAUUUUAGAGACCAACAAUCUAAGCAUGGUGUAGGAGAGCAGCAUAGAUGAUAUAACAAGAGAAGCACGCAACUCAUGAGCUAGAUAGACAUAGAUAAUGAUACUGAAAGGUAAGGUAGCAUAUGUCUCACACCAUAUGAUUCGAACUUAAGUCUCACUCGAACUUAGGACUCACAGACAAACCAACCAAAGCAAAAGCGAGGAAAACACGAACAAGACACAACCACGAACAAGACACGAAGACACAACUCGCAAAUCCCUAAACUCUCUCCCCCUUUGGCACCGAGACACCAAAAAGGAGAGGGAGUGCUGCUACCGCUCCAGGUGAGAGCAAAAGAGGGACACACGCAUCAGAUCUCAGAGGGGUCAUCAGCGCCACCAUCGUCAGCCGGGAAGUGCUCAGCAUCAGAAUCAGUCCAAGGGCAGUGCUGCUGAAUCCACUCCUCCUCCUCGGUGAGCUGAUCCUCAGAGCCACUAAUCACAAUAGCACCCAUCUGACGCAUGAGCUCCUUGUGGCGACCGCGGGCCUUCUUCUCAGCCGCGUGAGCCAUGUACUGACCGUGAGACUCCAUGCAGAAGAGCUUCUUUACCUUGGCCUUGAGCUUCUUGGCCCAAGAUGGCUCUGUCCCAGAGGGCACGUAGUCAUCAUCCUCAUCCUCAGCCUCAGCACCAAACUCCUCCUCAGUCUCCAUGGCAGCAGCAGAUGACGGAACACCAGUCCUAGGGGCCUAAGUGCCCCAGUUAUCCUUCUUCCUCAGACGCUUGACAUAGUGAGAGACCAAAUCGCCAAUCUCCAGUGCCGCCUUGGGAUAGACACGAUCCCAGGCCUUCUCAAUGAGCAGCAUAAUGAACAGACCAUAGAUCGGGAUCUUGCGCUCAGAGAUAGCAGAAACCAAAUCAGCCCACAUAACAUGAGAGACAUCCAACGACUCCCUGGUGGGAUUGUCCUUCUCACGCUGGCAGAAAAGAAGCAUGUCCACGAGAUAAGAAUGAACCUGGUCCAGAUUCCCAAUGCGAGGGAAAAGAGUCUCUCUGAAGAUGCGGUGCAGGAUAUCCAGAAAGGCAGGCAUCUCAUAGGUUUCCUUGUGUGUCUCAGAGUUGAUCUUCAGAGUGCAGUAUGGCCAGAGAGCUUGCUUGUGAGUGCAAUGGGCGCGGGCGUGGGGGCGAAAGCCAACCGGAGACUCAAAACCUAGAUCUUCCACCCCAAGCAACUCCAUGAAAGCUUUCCACGUGACAGAAAGCAACUUGCCAUUUGUCAUCCAAGUCAGUGUCCUGUCCACAUCAGUCCCUAGGUGAACCGUGGCAUAGAAUUGGGCCACAAUAUCAGCAUCAUAGUACUUGUUGAAUUGCAUGAUCCUGAGAAUGUUCAGUUGAGUGCACAUCUGAAGUGCUUCACCAAAGUAGUCGGGGUCUCUCUCCAUAUGCGCGGUAUCGAUGGAGUGCACGUUGACAUAGAGAUUCUUCUUGGCUUUGAGAACAUCAAAGAAGAUGGCAAACUGAAAUCUGUUCCAGAACGGACGGUUGACCAAAGUGGGAUCUUGGUCGUUCUCAUACGGGUUGCGGCGGCGCCUUGCCCAGAACUCUUUGGGAGGCAUUUCAGGCACGGUUUUGGUUGCCUUUGGCUUGACCCCAGCUUUCUUCGGGAGUUGAGGUGGAGGAGGAGGUGGAGCACUUGACGAUCCUCCGGCAGGCUCGGUGGUGCGGUAGCGCUUGGACGAGGCACGUCCGAGAUUGACACGACGAGCCUGAGGCUCAGGGACCUCAUCACCUGGAACCACACACAAGAACACGCAAACAACCAGAAAACACGAGCAAAAGACACCAAACACGAGCAAAAAGAUUAAUGAAAAGUAGAAGUAGAAUGGAAUCUGGUAGAGGGCGGUAGUACCGUGACCCUUGGGCGGUAGUGCCGCUCCAAGCGGUAGUACCGCUCUAGAGAGCGGUAGUUCCGCUCACAGCGGUAGUACCGCUCGGGGAGAGCGGUAGUACCGCUUGAGGCGGGGAAACAACAGUUUCCUACUACCGUGAUCAGAUCCGGUACUUCCGUCCUACCAAAUUCAAAAAUACUCCAACCAAACACUAAUCCACACGGCCUAGAAGCAAUCUCCAACCUACUCAAGCCUAGAUUUGGCCAAAAAUCUAAAGAUGCAACCGCUACUGCCCUAAGAUGCUAGAUUGGAAACCUAGACAAAAAUAACAAGAGAACGGGGGCAAUACCAGCAUCCAUGGCAAGAGGACGAGGUGGGGAUCGACUCCACCGAAGGGAAUGGAGAGGGACGGCCCGGAGAGGGAGAUCCGCCGGAGCCCUCCCGCGGCGCCGGUUGUUGGAGAGAGAGAGGAACAGGCGAGGGGCGUGCGAAUGGGUAUGGGGGAGAAGAAACUCCCCCUGCCCCGAUAUAACCCCACCCGCGCCUCUCAGCGGUAGUACCGCGCUGGAGGGCGGUAGUACCGCUUGGAGCAGUAGUACCGCUCGCCAGCGGCGGUAGUACCGCCAGCAACCAAAAACAAACUUCUAGGCAAACAAAAGGGAAAAACACACCGAGAAGAACGGGAAGGCAACGACAAGAGAAAGACCAACAAGACAACACACACGAAACACGAACCGGAACCCACUCCUUCAAAGCAAACAACAACAAAAAGAGCGAGCUCAGGCCUCUCUCAAGAGAGGGUGGUGGCCGGAGCCACCUAUGUUUGAGUCAAUUGGUAUGGCACCGCGAAGAAUUAUCCUUGGGUCCAUGACCAAAACUCGUCUUUGAAGCACAAGCACCAUCAACAAUGGCUAAAGUGAAAGAGUUGAUCGUUUUAUGCAUAAUGGGGGGAGGGAGAGUUCAUUGAGAGAACACCACUCCCCCUAUGUCCAUGCCUACACCUAAACUAGACAACACAUUGAGUGUGGUGGGGGGUGCACGGGUUCAAGUCACAUUGCUCAAAUCAAUGAUAUUUAGCUCAUGCCUUAACUCGCGAAAUCUUGCUUCAUCCAAGGGCUUCGUGAAAAUAUCUGCAAGGUUAUCAUGAGUGUUGACAUACUUGAGCUUGAUCUCCCCUCGCCUAAUGUGAUCCCGGAUGAAGUGAUACCGAAUCUCAAUGUGCUUCGUCUUGAAGUGUUGCACCGGGUUGAGAGAAAUCUUGAUGGCACUUUCAUUAUCACACCAAAGAGGCACUUUGUCACAAUUGACACCGUACUCCUUUAAAGUUUGCCUCAUCCAUAGGAGUUGAGCACAACAACUACCGGCCGCCACAUACUCCGCUUCGGUGGACGAGAGAGACACACAACUUUGCUUUUUGGAAGACCAACUUACCAAAGAGCAACCAAGAAAUUGGCAUCCUCCGGAAGUGGACUUCCUAUCCACUUUGUCUCCCGCCCAAUCGGAAUCCGUGAAGCCUUCAAGCUUGAAGUUUGCUCCUCUUGGGUACCAUAGGCCAAAGUUUGGGGUAUGAGCCAAAUAUCGAAAGAUUCGCUUGACCGCCACAAAGUGACUUUCCUUUGGUUCAGCUUGAAAACGUGCACACAUCCCCACACUCAACAUGAUAUCCGGUCUAGAUGCACAAAGGUAAAGCAAGGAGCCAAUCAUGGAGUGAUAUACCUUUUGAUCCACCGCUUUACCAUUGGGAUCGAUGUCAAGUUGGCACUUGGUAGGCAUUGGUGUAGUAGCCGGUUUGACGUCACUUAGCUUGAAUCUUUUAAGCAUGUCUUGAGUGUAUUUGGCUUGGUUAAUGAAGGUUCCUUCUCUUCUUUGUUUGAUGUCAAAACCAAGGAAAAACUUCAACUCUCCCAUCGAAGACAUCUUGAACUUGGAGGUCAUGAGUGCGGCAAAUUCCUCAUUGAAAGCUUUGUUAGGAGACCCAAAGAUAAUGUCAUCAACAUAUAGUUGGCAUACAAACAACUCCCCUUUGACCUUCUUAGUAAAAAGAGUGGGAUCGAUUUGUCCUACUUCAAAGCCACGAUCUUGUAGCAACUCGAUAAGGUGGUCAUACCACGCACGUGGGGCUUGUUUAAGGACAUAGAGUGCCUUAUUGAGUUGAUACACAUGAUUCGGGAAGUAGGGGUCCUCGAACCCGGGGGGUUGCUUGACAUAGACCAACUCAUUAAUGGGACCAUUAAGAAAAGCACUUUUCACAUCCAUUUGUUGCAACUUAAAGUUGUGAUGGGAAGCAUAUGCAAUCAACAAACGAAUGGAUUCAAGAUGAGCAACGGGAGCAAAGGUUUCACCGUAGUCGAUACCCUCGACUUGGGAGUAGCCUUGUGCUACCAAUCUUGCCUUGUUGCGAAUGAUGUUCCCAUGAGCAUCUUGCUUGUUCUUGAAGAUCCACUUUGUUCCAAUGACAUUGUGGUUCCCCGAUGGCCUUGGCACCAAUCUCCAAACUUUGUUGUACUCGAAGUUGUUGAGUUCUUCAUGCAUGGCAUUGAGCCAAUCCGAGUCUUCGAGCGCCUCAUAUACCUUUUGGGGUUCAACAUAAGAGACAAACGCGUGAUGUUCACAAUAGUUUGCUAAUUGUCUACGAGUGCUUACCCCCUUUCUUAGGCUUCCAAAUACAUUUUCCAUGAGAUGGCCUUGAGUGGUGAGCUUGGAAGCAAUCUUUGCGGCGCGACGCUCUAAUUCCUCCCCGGAUGUGGAGGGAGGGUUGACUUGAUCAUCUUGAGCGCCGUCUUGAGCUUGUUCUUGAUCUUGGGCUUGUCCUUGAGCUUGAGUUUGCUCUUGAUCUUGAACUUGCUCGAGGGGGAGAACUUGACCUUGGGCAUCAUUUAGAGGUUCACCACCAUCUUGAGAUUGAUCUUGCCCUUGGUCUUGUUCACAAGGUUGAGGGCCUUCACUUUGUUCUUCGGAAGCGUGUGGGUCUUGAUGAGGUGAUGGCUCUACUUGAGUAGAGCAUUGUCCUUCUCCUUCGGCCACAAGGGGUUCCUCAAUGGGUAGGAUUUGACCAAUACCCAUUCUUCUUAUGGCUUGGGGAGGAAUUUCAUCACCUACAUCACAAGUACCACUUUGCUCCACUUGGGAGCCAUUAUUUUCGUCAAACUCCACGUUACACGUUUCCUCAAUGAGUCCGUUGGACUUGUUGAGAACACGGUAAGCAUGAGAGUUUGUAGCAUAACCAACAAAUAUGCCCUCAUGAGCUCUAGCUUCAAAUUUAGACAAACGAACACCUUUCUUGAGAAUGAAACACUUACACCCGAACACCCGGAAGUACUUGAGAUUGGGCUUGUUCCCGGUGAGUAUCUCAUACGGAGUCUUGUUCAAGCCUUUGCGGAGAUAGAGCCGAUUGGAUGCAUGACAAGCUGUGUUGAUGGCUUCGGCCCAGAAGUUGUAUGGAGACUUGAACUCCGCCACUCCGCCAUCAUGGUCCUUGCCGCAUCCAUCAAUGUCCGGUUCUUCCUCUCCGCAACACCAUUUUGUUGAGGGGUAUAUGGUGCGGAAUAUUGGUGCUUGAUCCCUUCAUCACUAAGAAACUCAUCCAAGGUGUAGUUCUUGAACUCGGUGCCGUUGUCACUUCUUAUUGUCAAGAUCUUUGCAUUGUGUUGACGUUGACCUUCAUUUGCAAAGUCGAUGACGGUUUGUUGAGUCUCACUCUUCCUCUUGAAGAAGUAUACCCAAGUGUAUCUUGAAUAAUCAUCCACAAUCACCAAGCAAUACUUUCUCCCUCCAAGACUAUCAAAAGAUGGAGGCCUGAAGAGAUCCAUGUGAAGGAGCUCCAAGGGUCUCUUCGAGUAGAUGAUGGUUGAAGGAGGGUGAGCCUUUUCAUGAAGCUUUCCUUCGAUACAAGCACUGCAAGCAUGAUCUUUGGCAAAACUAACAUUUGUUAGUCCACGAACAUGGUCCCCCUUGAGAAGACUUUGCAAAGAUCUCAUAUUGACGUGGGCUAAACGGCGAUGCCAAAGCCAUCCCACAUCUCAACUUUAGCCAUUAGGCAUGUCGCGGUCUUAGUGGGUUGCUCUGAGAAGUUAACCACAUAGAGACCAUUCUCGACAUGCCCAACAAAGGCUACUUUAAUAGUCUUGCUCCACAAGAGGGCCACGGUAUCAAUAUCAAAGAAGGUGGCAAAACCCAUGAGUGCGAGUUGACGAACGGAAAGUAAAUUGAACGCAAGGGACUCAACAAGCAUGACUUUCUCGAUCGUUAGAUCAUGAGAAAUGACAACCUUGCCAAGACCCAAUACCUUAGAAUGUGAGGCAUCACCCCAUUCGACAUUGGUGGGCAUAGAUGGGAUAUUGUGCACGUCCACCACCAAGUCCUUGCUCCCGGUCAUAUGAUUUGUUGCUCCACUGUCGAGCAACCAUGAUCCCCCACCGGAAGCAAACACCUACAAGAGAUCAAUGCUUGGUUUUAGGUACCCAUUGAGUAAUGGGUCCUUUGAUGUUAGUAACAAGGGUCUUAGGAACCCAAAUAGACCAUUCAAUGUACUCAUAAGGAGAACCAACAAAUUUAGCAUAAACAUGUCCAUCACUAGCACGGCACAACACAUAAGAGGGGUUAAAGUCGCCGGCUUUGUUGGGAGAGAUGGCGUUGCGCUCUUUGGCUUCACCGCUCUUCCCAUUGUUCUUCUUCUCCUUAGGAGCACCUUCUCCCUCCUUUACAAAGGUUUGCGUGAGCGUAGGAGGUCGAUUGGUCUUGCUCUUCUUUUCCUUGUUCUUCUUCUUGUUCUUGGACUUGGGUGCGAACCCAACUCCCUCCUUUCCCACAACUUCCUUUUGAUUGCUCAAAAGAUCAUUUAGGUUCUUCUCGCCUUGUAUGCAUGACACAAGACCUUUCUCGAGUUGUACCUUCAACUUGGCAUUUUCCUCCACAAGAUGCACAUGCUCACAACAUGGGUUAGUAGCAUUUGCAUUAUCAAUUAAGACCAUGUGAGGAAAUGUGGCCUUUUCCUUAGUUAGCUUAACUUGGAGUUGAGCAUGAGACUCCUUGAGGGUGGCAUGAGCGCUUUUGAAGACCUUGUGGGCCUUGUCAAGUACAUCAAACUCCUCCGUGAGUCUAACAUGAUCAACCCCAAGUUUAGCCUUCUCGGAAGCUAGAACACGAGACACAACAAGAGCAUGAUCAAGAUCUUUAUUUAAUUUAGCGCGACCAUCGUUGUGUGACUCCUCAAGAGCCAAAUGAUGCUCACGCUCUUCCUCAAGAGCAUUAGAGAGAUCCGAUAUCUCAUCGGCAUAGUCACGACUAUGACUUUCCAUCUUAGUGAUGGUUUCUUCAUGAGCCUCGAUCAUGUCAUUGGCUUCACCAAGUUGUUCCAAGAGAGCAACGAUAUGCUUCUUGGAUUUGCCCUUGAGCUUACUCAUGAAGGACUCAAAUUCAUUGAUCUCCUCAUUAGACUCUUUACCAUUAUCAAAGUCAUCCGUUGAAGGAGGGUUAGGAAUAAUGGUGGUUUUGAUGUUGGGGGUUACCUUGUUGGUGGCCUUAGCCAUGAGGCACUUGGCGGUGAUGUUCUCGUUAGGUGCAACGAAUAGAGACACCCGAGGAGUUGAGACAAUGGGAACGGAUGCCAUGGCCAUUGUUUCACCAUCUUCAUCAUCAUUGUCAUCCUCACGGUAUUCUUCUUGAACCACCAACCCGCGAGAGGGAGUCUUCUUGGUGAAGUUGUUCUUGUUGGGGAAGGACUUGGCUUUGUCUUUUCGAAUGAACUUGCCACCAUUGUCUUCCCGCUUCUCGUAUGGACAAUCCGCAACGAAGUGACUAACAUUGCCAUAGUUGAAACAAGUUCUAACUCGUUGCUUCCCUUUGAGGCCACUUGAGUUGUUCUUGUUGAAGUUGGGUCUUGUAGUCUUCUUACUCCAAAACUGUCUUGAGGCAAGAGCCAUGUGCUCAUGAUAAUCAUACUUUGUAUCCUCGGGGUUGCUCUCCUCAUCUUCCUCUUCUUCUUCUUCUUCCACACUAACCUUGGCCCUCAAGGCAAGAUUGGGCUUCUUUGCCCUUUGGGAACGGAGCACCGCAUUGUCGGCGGUCUUAUCCAAGAUGUUCAUUGCAAUGAACUCAUCCAACACUUCACCAGAGGUCAUGGAGUGGAAGUCCGGUCUUUGGCGGAUGACGGAGGACAUGGCCUUGUUGUAGGGCAUCAUGGCCUUGAGGAACUUGCGCUUGAUCCAAUUGUCGUCCGUGUCUUUACUCCCAUGAUCUCGGAGUGCGACCGCAAGUUUGUUCACUCUUCGAAAGAGCUCACGAGGUUCUUCAUCCUCUUUCAUUGCAAACUCAUCGGCUUCAUCUUGCACCACUUCAUAGUUGGAGCGUUGAAUGCUAGCACUUCCUCUAUACAUACGCUCGACACACUUCCAUGCUUCUUUAGCCAUGACAUAAGGUCGAAGAUGAGGGAGAUCUUCGGGAAGGAUAGCAUCUUGGAUGAUGAAGAGAGCACUCUCAUUGAAUUGGUUGUCCACUUCUUCUCGAGGGGUGAAGUUGCUUGGAUCAUGAGGAUAGAAACCUUCUUCAAUAAUUCUCCAAAGGUUAGUAUUCACAUGUUUUAAAUGACGCUUGAAGCGAUAGACCCAAGAAUCAAAAUCUUCAUUUUUCACAUAUUUAGGAGGAGGACCGGCAUGAUUCAAAUGCGUAGAGGGGAUCGGUCCUUCAUACACCGGGGGUUCCACAUGGGCAAAGAUGCCGGUGCCAUUUCUACCACUAGUAGACGGACUCUUUUCACUAUUAGCUUCCCCCUUGUCGGGGUUAGCAUCCGUCACCUUGUUAGUGGGAUCAGCCACUUUCAUCGGCAAGGUAGAUAGUUUGAGUCCCUCUAGGAAUUCAGUAAACAUGCUUUUAACCUCGGCCAUCAUGGAGGUUUUCAAUGUGUCUAAAGCCACAUUGAAUUCCUCAUCAGAGACCGAGGUUCCCCCUUCGGCCGAAGACGAGAUGGGAUUCACACCGGAGUGUUCCUCCGCACCGUCGUUGACGUCAACCAUACUCUUCGGACGACAAAGUCCUUAAUAAAGAGAUGAGGCUCUGAUACUAAUUGAAAGGAUCGAUAUGGUUGACUAGAGGGGGGGUGAAUAGGCAACUAACAAUUUUUAAGCUUUUCUUUACCAAAUUAAACUUUGCAACAAAAUAGGUUGUCUAGAUGUGCAACUAGGUGAGCAACCUAUAUGAUGCAAUAACAACUAGCACACAAUCAAGCAAGGAUGUAACAACAAGUAGGCUUGCAAAAGUAAGGGCACGAAUUAACCAAGAGUGGAGCCGGUGGAGACGAGGAUGUGUUACCGGAGUUCCUUCCUUUUAAAGGGAAGUACGUCUCCGUGGGAGCGGUGUGGAGGCACAAUGCUCCCCAAGAAGCCACUAGGGCCACCGUAUUCUCCUCACGCCCUCACACAAUGCGAGAUGCCGUGAUUCCACUAUUGGUGCCCUUGAAGGCGGCGACCGGACCUUUACAAGCAAGGUUGGGGCAAACUCCACAACAACCGAAGGCUCCCAACAACAACAACAACACCACGAAGCUUCACCACAAUGGAGUAUGGCUUCGAGGUGACCUCAACCGUCUAGGGUGCUCAACACCCAAGAGUAACAAGAUCCGCAAGGGAUAAGUGGGGGGAAUCAAAUUUCUCUUGGUGGAAGUGUAGAUCUGAGCCUUCUCAACCAAUCCCGAGCAAAUCAACAAGUUUGAUUGGCUAGGGAGAGAGAUCGGGCGAAAAUGGAGCUUUGAGCAACAAUGGAGCUUUGGGGAAAAGACGUAGGUCAACUGGAGGAAGAAGACCCCUUUAUAUAGUGGGGGACACAUCCAACCGCUACCCCACUGAGCAGCCCCGCACAGAGCGGUACUACCGCUAGGGAAGGGCGAUACUACCGCUGAGGGCGGUACUACCGCUCCCUAUCCAGCGGUACUACCGCGCUGAAGAGAAAGUCAGGCCACUGGCCCCAGAGCGGUACUACCGCGGGAGUAGAGCGGUACUACCGCUCAGAGCGGUACUACCGCUUCUACUGCCGCUACUAGUGCCGCAAAACCCGACACGAGAAAACACCGUCUCGAAUCGAGGCAGCAGUAGGCGCGGUACUACGCGGUACUAGGGCCGAAGCCCGUGAGCGGUACUACCGCUCUGCGGAGCGGUACUACCGCUUAGAGCGGUACUACCGCUUCGUGAAGCGGUACUACCGCUGGGGGGCUUCGGCGGUACUACCGCUGGCACAGGGCGAAUCAGGUACGGAAGAGAGGUGCAGCUCCAAAGAUGCGAAAGGAAGACGACGGGUGUGAUAAGGAUGUGUACGUGUUGAUUCCACCCUAGUCUUACCAAAGCGGAUCCCCUCUUAAUAGUACGGUGACUCCUACGAAACUAGUCCACCAACAACGAAAUGCAGGAGCUACACCGUCUUGAAUAAAAACACCGAGGGGAGGAAAUCGUCUCGUGCCAAUGGAUGAUUCUUGAAAAAACUUAACGCACACGAUUAGUCCGCAAAAGCAUUGUCAUCAAUCACCAAAACCACUAUGGGAUAAAUAAGCCCUUACAUCAGGCCAAACAUAUUUCAUAGCAUCAAACCACACAUGCAUAGUAGAAUAUAGGAUGAGCAAAAUCAAAAGUGCAAACUUGCCUUGAGCGGUGUUGAAGUACUCUAACGCUUAAUUCGGAUCUGCUUCACUCUCCGGACAAUCUAUACGAGAACGAAGGCCCCGAUAAAUAAAUUGUACUCACAUAACACCACAAUAAAGUCGACAUCAAGGAAUUCAAAUAAAAAUUUAAUUAGCAGAACAUAUCAGUAGGUAUCUAUUAUCUACAUGCUAGUAGGAUCACAAUGCAAAAAGAAUCAACUAAUUUAGAUCAGCGGUUUGAAAGAUGUGGCCUCCGAAAGUUUGAAUUCAAAUUUAAUCAAUAUUCUCCUGGUCACUACGAGUACACAGGAAAAAGAAUCGAUGAAUUUGGAGUUAUGGAUCUCAAGAUAUACCUAAAUGAAAAUUUGAUAUGAAAUCUACCCAAAAAUAUUGUGUCAAAACUGUGUUCAUGGAAGAACUGCCGUGGCUGCUGCGGAUGUGCCACGUGGCAGGUUUCUACUGCCUCCGAAGUGUUCGCUGCGAGGUCUAAAGGGCGAACGGCCACUAAAUAGUGCAUACCUAUUCGAAGAAAAAAAACAGGACAUGAUAUAAUCUGGACCGUCAAAGAGAGAUCGGGCGGUUGACAAUUGCUCAUCGGAGACAGGGGCUGGGUGGCCGCCGGAGUUGAACAAGACAGACGCGGGCGGCACGGGAUCGAUGUUGGGGUCGUCUCUGGUGAUCUCCUCAAGAUUACAAGGUCACAAGGAGAAGCUGCGGAGAUAGGCGGUCUCGAACAUGUCGUCCGGGUCUUCGGAAAGAUCUGCUAGCAACGGCACAGUCCAGGAAGAGUUCGCGGCGGCGAUGUGCUUCUGGUCAGGGUCGAUGCGGUCGCUAUACUGCUCCCCUGCGUGAAGUAGAAGAUGAGGGAAAAUCAGGAGAUCAAAGCGCGAAUAAGAGGACCAAAAGGAGAAGCAGGAAACCUCCAGUGGCAUCUGAAUCAACUAGCGAAGACCUCCUGUGACGGCGAAACUCUGGUGAGAUCGCGACGACGCCCUAGGGCAUGGGUGACAGCGAUUUUGCCAAAAAUCGGGCG